rnacentral:rRNA from 1 species
CGGUGACAUGGGCGCAAGCCUGACCGCAAUGCCGCGUGCAGGAUGAAGGCCUUCGGGUUGUAAACUGCUUUUGUACGGAACGAAACGGCGAACUCUAAUACAGUUUGCUAAUGACGGUACCGUAAGAAUAAGCACCGGCUAACUACGUGCCAGCAGCCGCGGUAAUACGUAGGGUGCAAGCGUUAAUCGGAAUUACUGGGCGUAAAGCGUGCGCAGGCAGUUAUGUAAGACAGAUGUGAAAUCCCCGGGCUUAACCUGGGAACUGCAUUUGUGACUGCAUAGCUAGAGUACGGUAGAGGGGGAUGGAAUUCCGCGUGUAGCAGUGAAAUGCGUAGAUAUGCGGAGGAACACCGAUGGCGAAGGCAAUCCCCUGGACCUGUACUGACGCUCAUGCACGAAAG